UACGUAGGGUGCAAGCGUUGCCCGGAUUUAUUGGGCGUAAAGGGCGCGUAGGCGGCUCGGCACGUCCGUUGUGAAAUCGCCCGGCUCAACUGGGCGGGGUCAGCGGAUACGGCCGAGCUUGAGCAAGCUAGGGGGCAAUGGAAUUCCCGGUGUAGUGGUGGAAUGCGUAGAUAUCGGGAGGAACACCGGUGGCGAAGGCGGUUCUGUGGGCAUUACCUGACGCUGAGGAGCGAAAGUGUGGGGAGCGAACAGG
rnacentral:rRNA from 1 species